AAACACACGCACGCUUUCUCUCGUACAAACACCACGUUCUCAUACAAAACACCGCACGCUUUCUCUCAUACAAACACACGCUUUCUCUCAUACAAACACACGCACGCUUUCUCUCAUACAAACACACGCACGCUUUCUCUCUUAUACACUUUCUCUCAUACAAACACACGCACGCUUUCUCUCAUACAAACCAAAACGCACGCUU
rnacentral:lncRNA from 1 species